rnacentral:other from 1 species
CGAAUCCUGAAGUGUGCGUGAAUGCGCUACAUUAACAGUUUUGACCGAACACCUAUAAAUAGGGAGCCCAAAUCCUGGCUUGGCAAACAUGCCCCAUUUGAACGCCAUACAGGGGACGUUUAAAGAGUCAGUGAGGGCACCCACCUGCCGAGCUGCGGGUUCAAAACAGUGUUAAUUACGCACUACGGCACUUUCGGGAUUCGU